rnacentral:rRNA from 1 species
CAGAGAUUUCCGAAUGGGGAAACCCAGCAUGAGUUAUGUCAUGUUAUCGAUAUGUGAAUACAUAGCAUAUCAGAAGGCACACCCGGAGAACUGAAACAUCUUAGUACCCGGAGGAAGAGAAAGAAAAUUCGAUUCCCUUAGUAGCGGCGAGCGAAACGGGAAGAGCCCAAACCAACAAGCUUGCUUGUUGGGGUUGUAGGACACUCUAUACGGAGUUACAAAGGACGACAUUAGACGAAUCAUCUGGAAAGAUGAAUCAAAGAAGGUAAUAAUCCUGUAGUCGAAAAUGUUGUCUCUCUUGAGUGGAUCCUGAGUACGACGGAGCACGUGAAAUUCCGUCGGAAUCUGGGAGGACCAUCUCCUAAGGCUAAAUACUCUCUAGUGACCGAUAGUGAACCAGUACCGUGAGGGAAAGGUGAAAAGCACCCCGGAAGGGGAGUGAAAUAGAACCUGAAACCGUGUGCUUACAAGUAGUCAGAGCCCGUUAAUGGGUGAUGGCGUGCCUUUUGUAGAAUGAACCGGCGAGUUACGAUUUGAUGCAAGGUUAAGCAGUAAAUGUGGAGCCGUAGCGAAAGCGAGUCUGAAUAGGGCGUUUAGUAUUUGGUCGUAGACCCGAAACCAGGUGAUCUACCCUUGGUCAGGUUGAAGUUCAGGUAACACUGAAUGGAGGACCGAACCGACUUACGUUGAAAAGUGAGCGGAUGAACUGAGGGUAGCGGAGAAAUUCCAAUCGAACCUGGAGAUAGCUGGUUCUCUCCGAAAUAGCUUUAGGGCUAGCCUCAAGUGAUGAUUAUUGGAGGUAGAGCACUGUUUGGACGAGGGGCCCCUCUCGGGUUACCGAAUUCAGACAAACUCCGAAUGCCAAUUAAUUUAACUUGGGAGUCAGAACAUGGGUGAUAAGGUCCGUGUUCGAAAGGGAAACAGCCCAGACCACCAGCUAAGGUCCCAAAAUAUAUGUUAAGUGGAAAAGGAUGUGGCGUUGCCCAGACAACUAGGAUGUUGGCUUAGAAGCAGCCAUCAUUUAAAGAGUGCGUAAUAGCUCACUAGUCGAGUGACACUGCGCCGAAAAUGUACCGGGGCUAAACAUAUUACCGAAGCUGUGGAUUGUCCUUUGGACAAUGGUAGGAGAGCGUUCUAAGGGCGUUGAAGCAUGAUCGUAAGGACAUGUGGAGCGCUUAGAAGUGAGAAUGCCGGUGUGAGUAGCGAAAGACGGGUGAGAAUCCCGUCCACCGAUUGACUAAGGUUUCCAGAGGAAGGCUCGUCCGCUCUGGGUUAGUCGGGUCCUAAGCUGAGGCCGACAGGCGUAGGCGAUGGAUAACAGGUUGAUAUUCCUGUACCACCUAUAAUCGUUUUAAUCGAUGGGGGGACGCAGUAGGAUAGGCGAAGCGUGCGAUUGGAUUGCACGUCUAAGCAGUAAGGCUGAGUAUUAGGCAAAUCCGGUACUCGUUAAGGCUGAGCUGUGAUGGGGAGAAGACAUUGUGUCUUCGAGUCGUUGAUUUCACACUGCCGAGAAAAGCCUCUAGAUAGAAAAUAGGUGCCCGUACCGCAAACCGACACAGGUAGUCAAGAUGAGAAUUCUAAGGUGAGCGAGCGAACUCUCGUUAAGGAACUCGGCAAAAUGACCCCGUAACUUCGGGAGAAGGGGUGCUCUUUAGGGUUAACGCCCAGAAGAGCCGCAGUGAAUAGGCCCAAGCGACUGUUUAUCAAAAACACAGGUCUCUGCUAAACCGUAAGGUGAUGUAUAGGGGCUGACGCCUGCCCGGUGCUGGAAGGUUAAGAGGAGUGGUUAGCUUCUGCGAAGCUACGAAUCGAAGCCCCAGUAAACGGCGGCCGUAACUAUAACGGUCCUAAGGUAGCGAAAUUCCUUGUCGGGUAAGUUCCGACCCGCACGAAAGGCGUAACGAUUUGGGCACUGUCUCAACGAGAGACUCGGUGAAAUCAUAGUACCUGUGAAGAUGCAGGUUACCCGCGACAGGACGGAAAGACCCCGUGGAGCUUUACUGUAGCCUGAUAUUGAAAUUCGGCACAGCUUGUACAGGAUAGGUAGGAGCCUUUGAAACGUGAGCGCUAGCUUACGUGGAGGCGCUGGUGGGAUACUACCCUAGCUGUGUUGGCUUUCUAACCCGCACCACUUAUCGUGGUGGGAGACAGUGUCAGGCGGGCAGUUUGACUGGGGCGGUCGCCUCCUAAAAGGUAACGGAGGCGCUCAAAGGUUCCCUCAGAAUGGUUGGAAAUCAUUCAUAGAGUGUAAAGGCAUAAGGGAGCUUGACUGCGAGACCUACAAGUCGAGCAGGGUCGAAAGACGGACUUAGUGAUCCGGUGGUUCCGCAUGGAAGGGCCAUCGCUCAACGGAUAAAAGCUACCCCGGGGAUAACAGGCUUAUCUCCCCCAAGAGUUCACAUCGACGGGGAGGUUUGGCACCUCGAUGUCGGCUCAUCGCAUCCUGGGGCUGUAGUCGGUCCCAAGGGUUGGGCUGUUCGCCCAUUAAAGCGGUACGCGAGCUGGGUUCAGAACGUCGUGAGACAGUUCGGUCCCUAUCCGUCGUGGG